UAGUCCGUCCAGCUUACGCUGUGCCUGGUCAAAAUUUGUCUGCACUCCGCAACAAGAAGGUUUCAGAGAUGUGCUGGGAAACUUUAUGAAUGAAUGAGCAAUGUAUCCAUACGACAUUGUAAAGAGGCCUGCAACGAUAUAUUACCGUAUUGAUUUUUGAGCACACAUCUAUUAUAUGGGAUGGGCAAAAAAAUUAAUCCAGGGGCCUGCCUGUGGUUGACAUUUGCCCAUUCCUGGCUUAGACUGUCAUAGACUAUCAUCAAAGAGAUUGGAAGAGUCACAGAAAGGCAUAGAAGUGCAGGUCACAAUGGCAAUGGAAAUAAAAUCCAACCGAUCAAGUUGUGCGAAUAGUAUUGAACCAUUGGACAGCUGGACAUGAGUUCACAAGUUUCGAGAAGGUCAAAUUAAGUUCAGCAAAUGGUUCUAGUGCAUUUUAGGUUCAUCCUGAAUAUUUACCCCAAAUCCAUAUACCUCCAAAGUUUUGUGAUGUGAAUGUAUGUGUGUUUGCAUGGAGAGUGGUAGUCCAUUAAUUUUUGUGUUCGACUGAAUGCAGCAUUAAUAUUUUAAUGUAUUAACUUCGUCUCAUGUUGCCCUUUUGUCUAGCGCCUAUGUCACAACUUGUGAUCGCAGAGAGAAAAGAGGAGGAGCGGGAAGGACAGUGAAAAAAGAUAUGUCCCUCAAGAUACCAAGGAGAGACAGAAGCAAAGAGGUCAGCAUCAGUGCAAGUGUUAUUGUAUUGCUUACAAGAAAGGAACUCCAGGUGAGUGAAAGCAUUGCUCUUGUGCUGGCACCAUGAAGGUGAGGCGAGCUGGGGGAUUAUGGAAACAUGAGAAGCUGCCCUGAGCAUCACUGCAUUUUGUAGAUUCAUUUUUAAUCAUCUCUAUCCACAGAUAAGAGAGCUGCAUUCGAAGACUGACUUGUUUCAUUUAGUAAACAACGAAGGUAGAACCACUGCUGCGCAUUUCAUUUCUACCAAUCGCUUUCCUUGAUGUGUCUUGAACUCUUUGCCACUUGACUGGGCACGGUUAUUUCUUGUCUCUUCAAAUUGAAGUCCCCUCUUGUGAUGAUGUAACUCAAAGGGUCCAAUUGACCUUAUAGUCAACAGCUUUUCAAGUAAGUAACCUGAAGUACCAAUGAGUAGCUGUAAUUAGCUGUAUUUCUACAGUGGUCAUAUUUUCAGUACGUGUAAUUUGGCUGCACUCCCAUUUGCAUGGCUUGUGUUUCCACAAUGGGUGUGUAAUUGAUGGCAGUUAUUAAUGUGACUUCAUGGCUGUCGCAGUAAGUUCAUCAAAGAAAACAAGAAACUAAAGCCCUGUUUAAAUCCUUUAAAGCAGUGGUAACCCACAUUUUCUUCGAGCUUUUCCAAUUCCAUAGCAUUCUUUGCACACAAAGGAAAAGGACGCUUUUGCAAAUGGCAGCUUUAUUCUCCAAUAGAAAAAAAUAAGUUGUGUUUUUUUAUGUUAAAAAGAACAAGUGGAAUAUUAGAUGAAUAGAAAAGAUAAGUCAUGUUUUUUAUGUUAAAAUAAGUUAUGUUUUUUAUGUUUAAAAAGAAGGGACUAAGAACACUGGUCCAUCAGCAAAUUUUCUCACAGAUGGCUUUUAUGCCAAACCUAUUUUGACCCUUUCAAACAUGUCUUUACCCUUUCAUGUCUUUUUUUUUUCACAAGCUUGCAUUGUUCAUGUUCUGUCAGUUGCAGUCCAUCUUGGCAAUGCCACGUGAACACCUUCCUCUCAUUGGUUCUUCUGGAAAUAAUACUGGUGAGCUACAUUCAAGCCUCAUCUCCCGUCACGGACUCCCCAGCGUAUGAAACGCAGAAAGCGCAGCCAUCAGGAGAGACCUUCUGAUCACGACAGACAACUUCCUCUCCUCUCAGAUUCCACAGUGACACCCUGGCGAUCCCUCCUUCUCUCCGACUCCUCUUUUUCAUCUAUUCAUGUGGCCCCUUCUCCAAAACCGCCUCCAUCAACCCCUCAUCUUGGCAAUCACAAUGAAGAGUUAACUUUAAGUUUCAGCUCGAGCGAUGAAGGAUGCAAAGAAUUCAUCACACAACAGAAGAUGUGGACCCAGUCAGUGACACCUCGUCCAACACGUCUCCCUCCAAUGCGUCCCAUUACCAACCUCAGCUUCUCUCGCAGCUUCACUUUCUCUUUCUUUGAGCUUCCUCUGCAUCAGUCACCUCGAUGGCGUUCCGAACGUAUGAAAAACCUUAUGCAGCUUUUGAGACAGACACAUUACUGAUCCCACCUUCUAGAAAAAAAAAAAACAACUAAUGCCUGUUAUUUGUUUUGAUCAAUUAGAAUACUCAUAAACUCUUAAUUACGUGUGUGUUUGGCUUGAUCUAUCAGUUAAAUAACCUAAUGGGCAUUUUAAAUGAUGGAGCAGGCCACCAGUUUUCAGCAGCUAUCUUUGCCGUGUGUUUUUUUCUAAAUCCCUCAAAAUUCAAAAUGCCUCCAAUAUGCACUUUCUAGAAAAAAAAACAGUUCUGGGGGUUGUGGAUCGGGCUCUGAGCGUACUCUGCGCAGCUUUUAUGUUCUCCAGCUUGUGUGGGGUUUUGCUAGGUAAUCUGACUUUCUUCCCGCAUUCCGUAAUGGUGUGCUCUGAGAGAUCAUCUGGAGUGCCAUGGGAACUUUUACCGAGGCAGAGUAAAUUUCCAUUUUCUUUGCCGCUUUUACUUAAACAAAUAAAUAAAUGUGUAUAAAUUGAGAUCCAAUGAUCAUUAUUUUAAUGCUCAUACUUUUUGUGACCCGGCUGGUGGUGUACCAUGAAAAUCUAAUAGGACAUUAAAGGUUAAAGCAUUAUUGGCUCAGCCAAUGGACCCUGAACACUUCCUUGAGUGACGGCAGCUGUUGCGGUGCACUCUGGGACUUGUAGUAUCUGAUCCAAACUAAAUA